GCAGGUGUGGGGUGCCAGCGGAAGAUAGGUGCCGAUAUAAAAAUUAUUAUCAAAGAAAUAAUGCAGAGAUGUCAGAACUCUGAUGAAAAUGAAGCCCACUGAGACCAAAGUCCAUGUGGUCAGACACAAAAGAGCCAUCGAUUGCUGAACCUGUUCACUCCUACCUUCAAAGGCACAAAAAGAACACAGGAAGUCAAUAUAAAGCAGGCUCAUAGGUGGAAGGGACUUGCCUUGUCUCAGAUGAGACUUCGUAUUGGACUUUUGGGUUAAUGCUGUAAUGAAGUGAGAA